CCUACGGGAGGCAGCAGUGGGGAAUUUUGGACAAUGGGGGCAACCCUGAUCCAGCCAUUCCGCGUGAGUGAAGAAGGCCUUCGGGUUGUAAAGCUCUUUCGCAAGGGAAGAAAACUUAUGAUCGAAUAAAUCAUGAGGUUGACGGUACCUUGAUAAGAAGCACCGGCUAACUACGUGCCAGCAGCCGCGGUAAUACGUAGGGUGCGAGCGUUAAUCGGAAUUACUGGGCGUAAAGCGUGCGCAGGCGGUUUUGUAAGUCGGAUGUGAAAUCCCCGGGCUCAACCAGGGAACUGCGUUCGAAACUGCAAGGCUAGAGUGUGUCAGAGGGGGGUAGAAUUCCACGUGUAGCAGUGAAAUGCGUAGAGAUGUGGAGGAACACCAAUGGCGAAGGCAGCCCCCUGGGAUAACACUGACGCUCAUGCACGAAAGCGUGGGGAGCAAACAGGAUUAGAUACCCUGGUAGUCCACGCCCUAAACGAUGUCAACUAGUUGUUGGUAGAGUAAAAUCUAUGAGUAACGUAGCUAACGCGUGAAGUUGACCGCCUGGGGAGUACGGUCGCAAGAUUAAAACUCAAAGGAAUUGACG
rnacentral:rRNA from 1 species